GGCAUGUGGAGUGUAUGAGCUGACACAGAAGGAGUCAGGACAGUCUCCCUGGAGAUGAGUUUUGAAGGAAGAUAAAAAUGUAUUGGGAGAAAGUAGAGAAGGUGUUAUUAUGAAGGAAGAAGGCACAGAUGUGUGAGUUAACAAGUCAAGAGCAUCCAGCAGAUUGGAUUUUGUUUGAUGAAAUGGAAGGGCUCUUUUGAGGAAUAAGACAGAGGUGAUUGUGGUUAUAUAAGAGUCACUUGCCAGAGGGCUUUGGAUCUGAGUCCAUGGAGGCAGGUAGAUCAGCUUUUGGAAAAGCAAAUUGAACAUUGUACUCCAGCUGGCUCUCUGUCAUCCGUGUAGCCGAGGGAGAGUAACCCCUGGGGAGAAGCAACCAGUAAAUGGUUGCAGGAAUCCGGACAUGAAUUAAGAAAUGUGGAAGGGCUGCGGAAAUGAAAAUAAUGGGAAAAUCAGUGAAAUGUCGGGAAAACCCAGAAGGAUUUGUCUGCUGAUUUAAUAGAGUGCAUGUUGGGAAGAAAAUAAUUCAAGUAGAGAAUUUGGAACUGAGAGGAUCUGGAGGAUGGAUAAUGCCAUCAUCAGAGAUGGGGAAUUUGAAAAUGGCUUGUUUUCCUUCAUCCCAUAUAUGUGGGAUUUCAUUCCAAGGCUGUCAUAUGUAAACUUGAAAGACAUUAAUAGUUGUAGGCACUUAUACAAGGAAGCACUUUUAUCCUCUUUUUUCCACUUUAUUUCUCACAAUAAGACCAACCAUUUACAAAAAAAAAAAAUCAUUAAAGGAUAAAAUUAUUAUUUGUGAAAAAUGGAAAAUCUGUUUUUUUUUUUUUUUUUUGGCAGAGACUAAGCUUUGACAUUCUAGAUGUAUUAAUAAAUUCUCAAUUGGAGAAGUUCCUUUUGAUUUAUUUUUUUCUUGCUGCCCUGAAACUCUCACAUUCCCAUCUCAAGCAAUGCCUAUUCCUUUUUCAUCAAUAUCAUCUUAACGGCAUUUCCAUAAGAUUGCUAACUAUAGCUCAUCAAAGUUCUCCAGGGGAACAGAACCAGUGCUUAUUACUUAUUUAUUUGUUUAUAUCUCUAUCUAUUUGCUGAUAUUUAUUAUGAGGAACUGGCUCAUAUAAUUAUGGAGGCUAAGAAGUCUCGCUGCCUGCAAUCUACAACCUAGAGACCCAGGAAGGCCAGUGGUGUAGUUCAGUCCUAAAGUCUUAGAACCAGGGGAUCCAGGCAAUGGUUCAAAUCCCCAUCUGAAGGCAGAAGAAGAUUCUGUGAGAGGCCCUACUCAAACAGGAAGGCAACCACAAACUUCCUCCGCUUUUUUGUUCUAUUUAGGCCCUUAGUGGAUUAGAUGGUGUCAACCCAAGUUAUAUAGGGGUUCACUAAUUCAAAUACAGAAUUACCCUUACAGACACACUCAGAAAUAAUGUCUAAUCUGAGCACCCCAUGGCCCAUCAAGUUAACAUAAAAUUAACCACCCUAAUGAAUAAAUUGGGAUAAAGUAACUCCAUUGUUUUUAGUAAUCUGACAAAAGCUGCAAAAGUAAGAAUAACUGGAGGCAGAAAUGUUCCAUAACGUAGGAAAAAGUUGGCAAAUGCUCACUGAUAUUCUGUCUACCCGUUUAUCAUACUACGCUUAUCUCACCUCUGGUUUCUACUUCUUCCAUUCCUUUAAGUAAAUUUUGCAAAAAUCUCACUUCAGUAACAUGACUUUGUUUUAAAAAAAAAAUCAAACAAAUUUUUCAUUGUUCCUCAUUGCCUAAAGUACCUAACUUCAAUUUUCCUCAUUGCCUAAAGGACCUAACUCCAGUUCUUAAUGUGGCCAGUUGGCUGAGAUGUCAUUUUUGGUUUUUCUCCCAGUUUGUUCUUGCUGUUCCAUUUCUUCUUUCAAGCAAGUAGCCAGACUCUGUACCCCCUUAUCUCAGGGAAGGUCUGUGGCAGUGAGGAGAUCACAAGAUGUCUCAUGGGGUAUCUAACUUUUGUUUUCUAAAAGUUGGAGAAGUUUAGGAUAAACAUCCUGGAGAAAGGCUCAAGAAGUACCAGGUAUGGAUAACGUUUACAGAUUUUAACUGAUGUUGAAAUCAGUAUGAAAUUGAGCACAUGAUGGAGUAAGUACAUGCAGUUUUGUUAGGCAAAAAUCACUUCCACUCACAUGACUAUAAGUCAACUUCCCCAGCUUUGAGGUCUUUUUUUUAAUAAUGAUUUUUAUUUUUUCCAUUAUAGCUGAUUUAUAGUAUUCUGUCAACUUUCUACUGCACUGCAGGGUGACCCAGUCACACAUACAUGUAUACAUUCAUUUUUCUCACAUUAUCAUGCUCCAUCACAAGUGACCAGACAUAGUUCCCAGUGCUAUACAGCAGGAUAGCAUUGUUUAUCCAUUCCAUAAGCUUCUAUUCUUCAUAUGCAGCUGCCCAUUGGGCAUAUCUGGGGGGGGGUAGAUAUUUUUGAAUAAAUUUUUAAAAUCCCCUUCUAUUCCUAACUUGCUAUUUUGUUAUGUAAUACUUAAUUUUAUCAUAAUACUUCCUCCAUGUUUAUUGAGAUGAUUGCCUAUUUGUUGGCUUUUUAUCUGUGAAAGAAGUCAAUUAAGUUUAUAGUUUCUCUAAUAAUGUAUUACCUUCUGAUACCUGAGAUGAAAUCAACUAGGCUGUAGUGUAUUAUCUUUUUCAGACUUCUGGGAAUUUUUUUAAUUAAUAAUUUUAUUAGUAUUUUGUUUAGGAGUUUUGCAUCUAAGGUUAUGAUUGUACUUGGUUUAUAUUUUUCCUUUCUAAUAUGAUCCCUACUUGCUUUUCAUGUUGAUCUUAGCCUAGCCUCAUGAAAUCAGCCAGUGUUAUUUUUCAAUUUACUAGGAAAAAAUAUUUUUAUAAAUUUUUUAUUGAAGUAUAGUUGAUUUACAGUGUUGUGGAAAAAUUAGAUAUAAGGUUUCUUUUCUUUCCUUUUUUUUUUUUUUUGGUCUUUUUUAGGGCCACACCCACAGCAUAUGGAGGUUCUUAGGCUAGGCGUCUAAUUGGAGCUCUAGCCACUAGCCUAUGCCACAGCCACAGCAAUGCCAGAUCUGAGCUGCAUCUGCGACCUACACCACAGCUCACGGCAACCCACUGAGCGAGGCCAGGGAUCGAACCCACAACCUCACUGUUCCUACCCGCAUUCAUUUCUACUGUGCCAUGACGGGAACUACAAAAUUAUAAGUUAACUAGACAAAAUCUAUUUAUUAGAUUAGAAUGAUCUCUUGAAUUUUUGAUAGAACCUUCUAUGAAACUAAGCUAAGUCUUUUCUUUGUGGGAAUAUUUUUUUAACUGCUCACUCUAUAUUUUAGUGAUUGAUUAUAGGACAUUUCAGACUCUCCAGACUCUCCAAUUCUUCUUGAAUGGGUUUGAGUAUGUUGCAUUCAAAUAGCAUUGUAUAGGCUGUGACCACGAUUCUUAAAUUUUCAAAUUUAUGGGUAUAAAGAUCUUCACAUACUUCUAUUACUAUAGUUUUACUUCCUGUAUGUGUGUUUUCUCUGUUUUUCUUAAUAAGUUCUGAAAAAGUUUGUUAUCUUUCAGUCUUUUCAUAGAAAUAUAUUUUGCCCUUGUUGAAUGUCUUUAUUUUGUCAUUAUUUCCUAUCUUAUUAAUUUAUUCUACUAUAUUAAUUUUUUUCUAUUUCUUGGGUUUAUUCUAAUGUUCUCCAUACUUUGAACUGGACAUUUAGCUUGCACGUUUAAAGGUACCCUUUUAAUUUAUGUAGAAUAUAGUUUUGUUAGUGUAGGGUUCUCUCAGUUUCCUUCACUGCCCCAAAUGGAAGUCCUUGAAGUAAAGUUUGUUGAGUGAUUGAGGCAGGAGGAUAGCUCUAUUCCAGCUCUAUUCCAGACUAAUAAUACUUUACUAAUAAUACACCUGUAGUAUUAUAUUCAUUUCUCUUUACAUAAUUAAAUGAUACAUUAACAAAUAGAGAGUGCACACUGAUAAAGGUAAACAGAGUGGUAGGAUGUCUGAAAUUCAUGACCUAUGAGGAGAUACUGAAAUAACUCUUGAUUAUUUAACCUAGAAAUUAGAAUGGGAGGAGAUGAGGUUUUCAGAAUCUUCAAGUACCAUGGUAUGAAAGAGAGAUUGGAUUUUUUUUGAAUUCUAAAUGACAAAAUUAGUUUACGAGAUAAAAUUUAGAAACUAGGGCUUGAUUCAAGAAAUAAAUAACCAAGUGGUAGGAAAUCCAUUAUGAUAGGAAUUAUUCAGAGGCUGGCCCACCACAUAACUGAAUAUUGUAGUGGAAUGUCAUGUGUGAGUUAGAUAUGUGAAUUUUACUUGGGAUUUUAUGAUAUUAAACUCAGUAACCUUUGAAAAGAGAUCCUGUAGCUCCUACUGCUUUUAUUUCUACUACAGUAUCCACAACUCCCUAAAUGAGCUCUAUGAAUACUGGAAAUGAAUGUAUAAGUGAAUGAAUGAAUGAGUAAAUGAGUCAUAACAACAGCAAAUAUGAGUGGUCUCUCACUUUCCCAUCUUGUCUGCAGUUAACACAGCCAUACACUUAGGUGUGUGUGUGUGUGUGUGUGUGUGUGUGUGUGUGUGUGUGUGUGUGUGAGAGAGAGAGAGAGAGAGAGAGAGAGAGAGACAGAGAGAGAGAGAGACAGAGAGAGACAUGUGGGAGGAAAAGGUAAUCUGUUAAAAUCCAAUCCCUGGAAGUGAUUUCUUAUUCAGGUCAAGUAAAACCCUCAGUGUUUCAAUUCAGUGACACCCUGGGAAUGAUUAUGGAUCAGGUUUCAUCACCUGUUAGCAGUGGGACUGAAAGGCUGAGCUAUUUUUGAUGGAUGGCCCUUCAGAGUGUGUCUCUGACAGUACCCUUGGUUCGCCCCUUCUUAACUACUUCCUUAAUGCAGUAUUCUGAUAAUCUUCCUUCUGUGGCUCCUGAGACAGGACAGGACAUCUGCUUUCUUUAGUAAACUCUGUCUGCCUUCCUAUCUUCAUAGUAAAUUACUUACUGGCCCUACUUUUCCACAUGGGGGGAGAAUUAGAUCUUGUACUCUAAUUUCAUUCAUCAACUUUGUCCAGUCUCCCCCACUCACCUUCCCAUCCAAUUUCGGCUCUGCAUCAGGAACAUCUUUCAACAACAAAAAUGUUGAUAAUUCAGCUUCCUUGUCUACCCUUGUGCAGUAAUUUUUUUUUUCCAUUACCCGAUAAAAUCCCAACUCUGUAGCAUAGCUUAAGAGAGGCUGCAAAAUCUGGAACUUGCCUACCACUCCUGAGUCUUUCCUCACUAAAUCUUAUCUACAUGGGCUAGGAAAUCUUUGAUUCUUUGAUACAAACCAUUCUCUAUAUCUUUUAUCUAGGUCAUUAUGUAAGUUGUUGCUUUUGCCUGGAACCCUCACUGACAAAAUUAGUUUGGCUUAGCAAAAAGAACCUGAAAUGUUUGAGACAUGUAUGGCAGGGGUAAAUCUUAGUCAAGGAAGCAU
rnacentral:lncRNA from 1 species